UACGGAGGGUGCGAGCGUUGUCCGGAAUCAUUGGGCGUAAAGGGCGCGUAGGUGGCCCGGUCAGUCUUUGGUGAAAGCGCGGGGCUCAACCCUGCGUCGGCCAGGGAUACUGCCGCGGCUCGAGCACUGUAGAGGCAGGCGGAAUUCCGGGUGUAGCGGUGGAAUGCGUAGAGAUCCGGAAGAACACCGGUGGCGAAGGCGAAUCCCUGGAAAAUACCUGACACUGAGGCACGAAAGCUAGGGGAGCAAACAGG
rnacentral:rRNA from 1 species